rnacentral:rRNA from 1 species
UUAAAGGAAUUGACGGACCCGCACAAGCGGUGGAUUAUGUUGUUUAAUUCGACGCAACGCGAAGAACCUUACCAGGCCUUGACAUACUCGGCAAAGCUCUAGAGAUAGAGUGGAGGUUAUCCGGGAUACAGGUGGUGCAUGGUUGUCGUCAGCUCGUGUCGUGAGAUGUUGGGUUAAGUCCCGCAACGAGCGCAACCCUUGUCUUUAGUUACCAUCAUUCAGUUGGGGACUCUAGAGAGACUGCCGGUGAUAAACCGGAGGAAGGUGGGGAUGACGUCAAAUCAUCAUGCCCCUUAUGGCCUGGGCUACAAACGUAAUACAAUGGCGUAUACAAAGGGAUGCGAAAGGGUGACCUGGAGCAAAACUCACAAAGUACGUCUCAGUUCAGAUUGGAGUCUGCAACUCGACUCCAUGAAGGCGGAAUCGCUAGUAAUCGCGGAUCAGCAUGCCGCGGUGAAUACGUUCUCGGGGUUU